rnacentral:lncRNA from 1 species
CAGGUUUGAUUUCAGUUUUAAAAAAUUCCAAGUCGAUUUUCAUGUGCAUAAAUAGAAUGACAACCAUUACAACGAAAAGAACAUGUCCCAACCAAAACAUUUCAUGAGGCGAAAGUAAAAACACAGACACACACUUUUCUUUGUUUGUUUUGGCACUGUAAUAAUAAGCUGAUUAGAUUCGUUCAGACGGUCGAGUCUGAAAUAUCUCUGGAAGAACCUUCGUAGUCAACGUCUUCCUCUAUGAGCGGCCGCAGGAUCGUAUCCCUAAACUACGAGCACUGACGCAGUGGUUGAAAAAUCCGACGACGAAAACAAACCUCCAACUGGUCCUAACUCCGGACAAUCCGUACUGCUAACCAACGACGCAACCGCCGCGUUUCUCCCCACGAUGAAAAGAUUGCAUUUGCUCAUCGCUUUAAGCGUCGCGUUGACAUCAUCUCUGCUCUCAACGACUCUCUCCUCGUAAGCCAACGACUCAUUCCCUCUCGGAUCGUUCAAACGAGCUUUGUGAACCAUAGCUAUCGCUGAUGACCACUCAGAGAGCUCCAUUAGACGCAUAGCGUAGACGCAGAGACGUCCUCUUUGUCCUGUCCCUCUUGAUGACUCGAUCAUAUUGAUCAACGUAGGGAUGUUGCGUGUACUGUGGAAGCAAGCGAGUAUCCGUAGCUCGGAGUCAUGAUCUUUUCUCUGGAUUGUUCUAUGCUUGUACGGUGCUCCUCUCCUCGCAGGCUUGUAAAUCGCCAUCAGAAGUGGAGUUGUGAUGAAGGUUGUGACCAACGCCGUUAGGACUAAGAUCGCAAACGCUUGAUCAUUCAGCACCUUCUGGUCCUUGCCGAUGUUUAGAACGAUAAUCUCUACUAAAACUUUGAUGUCCAUAAGGAUUCCAAGCGACAUGGCUUCUCUGAAAGGAACCUUGCAGAGCAGCGAGGCCACAACGGUUCCUCCAAUCUUCCCGAAACAAGUGGUGAGUAUGACAAGAAGUAGAAGUCCCCACGAUUGUGCUCCUCUGAUCGUUGUUACAUCGGUUUUUGAGAGCGCUAGACGCAAAAUAAAGGUCUUCUUUAGGAGUCACUAUAGCUACAACAAACGCCCCGAACAGCGCGUGUAUCCCAAUAGUGUCCGUCACAAAACUCCCCGCUAAAACCAAGGUUAGAGUGACACAGACAUAGAGUUCCUUCACAGGCUCUCCUUCGGGGGACAGCGUCUAGCCAUAUAACCAAGGAGAGGUUUGAUUGCCACAACUGCAAAUAUCACAAAACCAGAUCCAGAGAGAAGAACCCAAAGAGGUACAAGAGGAGAACUGUCAUCUCCCGAGAGAGCAAUCGCAAGUGCGAGGAGUAUCCAAGCUGCGAUAUCGUUCACUCCCGCUGCAGACAUAGCCAUACGUCCAAUGUCGGUUGUUAGAAGCUUUAGCUCAGCUAGGAUACGAGCAAGCACAGGGAAGGCGGUGAUUGAUAAGGCAACGCCCAUGAAACAAGAAAAACAGAAGACCGAUGUUUGCGAGAGUGUCUAAAACGGUCAGGCUCUUGUCUGGGAAGAUGGUGUCAAUGUACACCUUGCUUCGUCCCAGAGCAGUAGGUCCAAGCAGUAUCCCUCCCUACGGAACCAUUGCAUUGCCAAGCGAGGGAUGAGACUUGGCCAAGAGGAGAAAAGGAAAACAAGAUCUAAGAUCUAUUCUGCUACGUCUCUGUAAUUCAAAAACAGUAUCCACUUCAAGAAGUGAGGAUAUAAAAGGGAGCAACAGAAAACUAUUUAUGUCAACAGUGCUAAUUAUAGGAAGAAGAGACUGAGGACAUACCAGCUCCAGGGUAAGCAUACACCUUGCACCUUUUCUAUUUAUAGACUAUCAAUUACUUAACUUCCAACCACAUUGCAUCUCUCCUUCACAGACAUGAACUCCCUACACUCCACCAUCUCUGUUAUGUCAGCUUGUCCUAAUUUUACAAGCACUUGUACAUGUCUCCUGAAAAAAACAUCAACCAGUUUCACUUACAUCAAUGUAUAUGCAUUGGAUAGAUGAUAUGAAAUACACAAUAUUUCUUGAGAUGCAUUAAAAGGGGUAAGAACAACUCACAACAUUGUGGAGAAAGAAGUCAGCAUUGUUCCUAGCCGUGUCAUCUACAUUCAAAAUUGGUGAUCCCUUUCUCAACGCAGAAUUUUGCUAUAGUUUCUCCAACUUUAUUUGCACCUCCUAAUCAAUUCCAAAGCAGUUUAACUUUAGACAAUGUUUGUCUCAUUCAGCCUUACAGAAUCAAGAUAUGUAAAGCUAACUGAAGCUAAAGGUCUCAUGCUAAAUCAGCAGGUAUAUUCUGUAGACAGGCAGGGGUAAUGAAAAACUUACAAUGGUGGGAGUAGCUCUGUUGUCGCCAAACUCCUCAGAGAUCGGAUUCUGGUUUUAGUGACCCGAAAAUUUAAAAUAUUCUUAAAGCAGGAGAUUCAAUAAUGUAUGAUCAAGCAUGUGGUUUAGUUUGUGAAACUAUACACUAUUCGUAACUUCACUAUAAAAACAUAGUUUUUAUCUUCCUAUAAGCACUUAAUUUCAUCAGAAAGAUUCAGUGUUUCCCUAGAAUUAGACCCAAGUACAAGAACAUUUACUUGCAAUAUAGACCCAUACACAUAGAACCAAAUCUUCAACAACAGAAGAGAAGAGACAGAUUUAAGAAACGCCACUAAGCUCUCUAGUCAUAAGCUAAUGCAAUGAACGACCCAGCUUAAGCUUCACUCACAAUUCUUCCUCAGCUCUAAGAAAGCUCCAGAGAUUAACUAAACCUCUCUACUCUCCGACGCCGCAGCUCAUCUAAAGGAAGACCACUAGAAGAAGAUGAAGAAUGUGCAUGUCCCUGGUUCACUGACCAUCCGUUUCCUCUACUCCUCCCGGAGCCACACAUCUCACAAACACUCUCCCAACCAGAAUUGUCAAACGUACAUGACUGGCAUCUCCAGAUACCAGGUCCUGCAAUCCCAUUCUGUCCUCUCCCCACUCUUCCUCUCCCCGUAAUCCUCCUCCUCCGAGACCCAACCAUACUACUCAGAAACCUCAACGGCCACGUCACCGCUCUAGCGACACCUCUAACCACCAUAGCCACAGGAUCAGACCCCGAGUAAGACCUCUUCAUCUUCAUGUAAAGAAUCCCAGCAAGAAUCCCACCUAAAUGCCCAAGAAACGAAGCCCUCGGCACAAACAUCUGCACCAGAACCAGCUCAGCCCAAGCAGCAUACUUCGUCGGCACUAGUACCCCGUACACGCUGGUGUAAUCCUCAGCCUGAGCAUUGAGAACAACCUUCAAAGCAAAGAGUACUCCCGAGAAUCCCACAGAGUACUCGUGGUAAUACGCUCUCCUGUAGUCAAAUAAGACAUGCAGGGACUUGGCUAACAGCAAUGUGACUCCUUGUGACAUACCGAGAAGCGUAACGACCAUAGAAGCAAACUGUGUGCUUCCCAUGGAUGUCUCCAGCUUGAUUCCUUUCCAGAGAAGAGACAUCAUGUUGUAGACUAGGUGAGGCUCGUUGAGAUGGUAGAACGCUGAUAGAAAGAAGCGUUUCAAGUCCUUGUGCUGUUCAGCGAGGCCACAACGGUUCCUCCAAUCUUCCCGAAACAAGUGGUGAGUAUGACAAGAAGUAGAAGUCCCCACGAUUGUGCUCCUCUGAUCGUUGUUACAUCGGUUUUUGAGAGCGCUAGACGCAAAAUAAAGGUCUUCUUUAGGAGUCACUAUAGCUACAACAAACGCCCCGAACAGCGCGUGUAUCCCAAUAGUGUCCGUCACAAAACUCCCCGCUAAAACCAAGGUUAGAGUGACACAGACAUAGAGUUCCUUCACAGGCUCUCCUUCGGGGGACAGCGUCUAGCCAUAUAACCAAGGAGAGGUUUGAUUGCCACAACUGCAAAUAUCACAAAACCAGAUCCAGAGAGAAGAACCC